CCCUAUGGGGUGCAGCAGGCGAGAAAACUUUGCAAUGUGCGAAAGCACGACAAGGUUAAUCCGAGUGGUUCCUGCUAAAGGAAUCUUUUGUCAGUCCUAAAAACACUGAUGAAUAAGGGGUGGGCAAGUUCUGGUGUCAGCCGCCGCGGUAAAACCAGCACCUCAAGUGGUCAGGAGGAUUAUUGGGCCUAAAGCAUCCGUAGCCGGCUGUGUAAGUUUUCGGUUAAAUCCAUACACUCAAUGUAUGGGCUGCCGGGAAUACUGUACAGCUAGGGAGUGGGAGAGGUAGACGGUACUCGGUAGGAAGUGGUAAAAUGCUUUGAUCUAUUGAUGACCACCUGUGGCGAAGGCGGUCUACCAGAACACGUUCGACGGUGAGGGAUGAGAGCUGGGGGAGCAAACCGGAUUAGAUACCCGGGUAGUCCCAGCUGUAAACUAUGCAAACUCAGUGAUGCACUGGCUUGUGGCCAGUGCAGUGCUGCAGGGAAGCCGUUAAGUUUGCCGCCUGGGAAGUACGUACGCAAGUAUGAAACUUAAAGGAAUUGGCGGGGGGAGCACCACAAGGGGUGAAGCCUGCGGUUCAAUUGGGGUCAACGCCAGAAAUCUUACCCGGAGAGACAGCAGAAUGAAUGUCAAGCUGAGACUUUACCAGACAGCUGAGAGGUAGUGCAUGGCCACGGCGAUU
rnacentral:rRNA from 1 species